GACUCUCGGCAACGGAUAUCUCGGCUCUCACAUCGAUGAAGAACGUAGCGAAAUGCGAUACCUGGUGUGAAUUGUAGAAUCCCGCGAACCAUCGAGUCUUUGAACGCAAGUUGCGGCUGAGGCCAGUCGGCCAAGGGCACGCCUGCCUGGGCAUCA
rnacentral:rRNA from 16 species